AGAAGGUGAAACGUGGCGUCCAUGUCAGCAGGCACCCACAUUAUAGAAAUGCAGACACAAAGCCCCUCUGCCCCUCCACUGACGUUUACUCUUCCUUUGGGUGUAUAACAUCCAGCAAGCUAAAGCUCAGGAAGUAGAAGGGUCAGCCAACUGUUUUACCAGGAUGCUGUUCAACCCUCAGCAUGAUCGAUGAAUAAAGAGAGUACGAUGUAAAGAAGGAAGAAGCUCCUAGGGACCCAGGGUGAGUUGAUGCAAUUUUCAGAAAUUGGUUCCCCUACCUGAAUUAUCCCCUGCCUGCCUCUGAAACGGUGCCCCUCUGCCUUUCUGGAAAAGCAAACUCUUCCACCCAGAAGCCUAAUGUGUCACCUGGGGUUUCCAGCUCCAGAUAACCCCAACCACGCAUCCCCCUCAUUGAUAUCUAAAGUCCACCGAUCCCCUUUCCCAAGUGUAUCUCCUCUGCUAAUAGCUCUGAGGUGUCCAGGGCAGUUUCUGAAGAUAGUGCUCUACACAGGGCGGGAUGAUGCCUCUCGCCUUCCCAGCCAGCUCUAAGGGUCCCUGCCCUUGGGAGAUGGAGCUCCCUAGCACAGGCUCCUGCUCCAAGUCUCCAUGUGUCCCUUGUCCUCUAGAAUCCCAUCACCACGAGCCCUUUGGAUCUGCAGUGUGGAAUCGCUGCUUGCUCUGCCUGCGUUUCCCGAUGCCCGUGGGUCUGACUCUGCACCUUGCGCCCUGCGUGCUUAGCACGAUUCUCCUUUCCCAGCGAAUGCUGCUUAGUCUCUGAGACAGCACUCCCUCGCUGCUUUCUCUAAGUCUCCCUGAAUUCUUUGUGCAGUUCAACCAGCUCCCUUCGUCUAGUUCACCUCUUGCAUCGGCAAAACCCUGACCC
rnacentral:lncRNA from 1 species